GGGCUUAUGAUGAUAACAAAAUUAUCUUAGCGGAUUUCAGUGAGAUUAUUAAGUCAAUUAUCUGAUUGUUACACACACUGAAGCCC